rnacentral:SRP_RNA from 1 species
GCCGGGUGUGGCUGUGCAUACCUGUAGUCCCAGCUACUCGGGAGGCUGAGACAGGAGAAUCACUUGAACCCAGGAGGCAGAGGUUGCAGUGAGCCGAGAUGGUGCCACUGCACUCUAGCCUGGGCAACAGAGUGAGACUCCGUCUCAA